rnacentral:rRNA from 1 species
ACCGGUGGCGAAGGCGGCCCCCUGGACAAAGACUGACGCUCAGGUGCGAAAGCGUGGGGAGCAAACAGGAUUAGAUACCCUGGUAGUCCACGCCGUAAACGAUGUCGAUUUGGAGGUUGUGCCCUUGAGGUGUGGCUUCCGGAGCUAACGCGUUAAAUCGACCGCCUGGGGAGUACGGCCGCAAGGUUAAAACUCAAAUGAAUUGACGGGGGCCCGCACAAGCGGUGGAGCAUGUGGUUUAAUUCGAUGCAACGCGAAGAA